rnacentral:rRNA from 1 species
AACGAACGCUGGCGGCAGGCUUAACACAUGCAAGUCGAACGGUUCCUUCGGGGACAGUGGCAGACGGGUGAGUAACGCGUAGGAAUGUGUCCAGAGGUGGGGGACAACCCCGGGAAACUGGGGCUAAUACCGCAUAUGUCCUGAGGGACAAAGCAGUAAUGCGCCAUUGGAGCAGCCUGCGUCCGAUUAGGUAGUUGGUGGGGUAAUGGCCUACCAAGCCUGCGAGCGGUAGCUGGUCUGAGAGGAUGAUCAGCCACACUGCGACUGAGACACGGGCCAGACUCCUACAGGAGGCAGCAGUGGGGAAGAUUGGACAAUGGGCGCAAGCCUGAUCCAGCAAUGCCGCGUGGGUGAAGAAGGUCUUCGGAUCGUAAAGCCCUUUCGACCGGGACGAUGAUGACGGUACCUGUAGAAGAAGCCCCGGCUAACUUCGUGCCAGCCGCCGCCGUAAUAC